UGUCAAGGAAAAAUAUCCACA
rnacentral:piRNA from 1 species